rnacentral:lncRNA from 1 species
CGGGCCUGGUGAGAAUGGCUGAGGCGUGGGUGUCAGAGGGUGUGCCCCUGUGGUUCCUGUCCGAGUAGUGUUCACGCAUGCCCAGUGGUGGCCACUGGGGUCACGGCCCCUCUACCCGCCCCAGGCGCGCGGGAAUGGGACAGGAGCCAGUCACUGCCUUUCUGUCUUUCCUCCUCUCUCCGCAGCCCGGGUCAACCAGCCGACGGUGGCGGAACGGCGGGCAGGUCGGCGGAGUUAGAUGGCCGCAAAGGUGGGCAGGCUCGGUGUGAUAAGGUUCCAACUGGGUCUGAUCGCUUCCGUCCGCGAGCGCCGGGUCCACCAAAUGUCGGCGGCGAGCGCUGGCUUUGAUGGUUAACUUGGGAUUUCUAAGUAUUCUGUGGACAGUCGAGGGCUGGAAAAAAAACAGAAACAUGAAUUUGAUUGGUUUCACAAGAGACAUGGCAGACCAAAGAACAUACGAUGAGUACUUUGCUAAAUGCCCUGUUUAUUCUCCCAACCGGGCUCAUAAAAGUACGGACACAUUUGGUGGGUUGAGAGAUCUCUAUGUAGUCGUGACCCUGUAAUUAUACUUGACGAGAGCGGUGAUGACAGACAGGCGGCACAGAAAUCUGCCCUUCUUUGGUGCCAAUUGAGCAUGGUGACAACAGAUUAAAAAUGGCCUAUGUCUCAAGUUGAAGGUCCUGUUUUUCUGCUCUGGUCUUUAGGAAUGAGUGGAGCCUUCCCGUGCUCUGCCAUUUUCUUGCAUUUUUCUUUUCACAUACAUUCAUUCACUUAUUUAUUAAUUAAUUUAUUUUAAAUAGAGUCUCGUUCUGUA